rnacentral:rRNA from 1 species
AACGAACGCUGGCGGCUUGCCUAACACAUGCAAGUCGAACGAGACCUUCGGGUCUAGUGGCGCACGGGUGCGUAACGCGUGGGAACCUGCCCUUAGGUUCGGAAUAACUCCCCGAAAGGGGUGCUAAUACCGGAUAAUGUCUUCGGACCAAAGAUUUAUCGCCUUUGGAUGGGCCCGCGUUGGAUUAGCUAGUUGGUAGGGUAAAAGCCUACCAAGGCGACGAUCCAUAGCUGGUCUGAGAGGAUGAUCAGCCACACUGGGACUGAGACACGGCCCAGACUCCUACGAGAGGCAGCAGUGGGGAAUAUUGGACAAUGGGCGAAAGCCUGAUCCAGCAAUGCCGCGUGAGUGAUGAAGGCCUUAGGGUUGUAAAGCUCUUUUACCCGGGAUGAUAAUGACAGUACCGGGAGAAUAAGCUCCGGCUAACUCCGUG